rnacentral:rRNA from 1 species
GACGAACGCUGGCGGCGUGCUUAACACAUGCCAGUCGAACGGAAAGGCCCUGCUUUUGUGGGGUGCUCGAGUGGCGAACGGGUGAGUAACACGUGAGUAACCUGCCCUUGACUUUGGGAUAACUUCAGGAAACUGGGGCUAAUACCGGAUAGGAGCUCCUGCUGCAUGGUGGGGGUUGGAAAGUUUCGGCGGUUGGGGAUGGACUCGCGGCUUAUCAGCUUGUUGGUGGGGUAGUGGCUUACCAAGGCUUUGACGGGUAGCCGGCCUGAGAGGGUGACCGGCCACAUUGGGACUGAGAUACGGACCAGACUCCUACGGGAGGCAGCAGUGGGGAAUAUUGCACAGUGGGCGGAAGCCUGAUGCAGCAACGCCGCGUGCGGGAUGACGGCCUUCGGGUUGUAAACCGCUUUCGCCUGUGACGAAGCGUGGGUGACGGUAAUGGGUAAAGAAGCACCGGCUAACUACGUG